rnacentral:rRNA from 1 species
UACGGGGGGAGCAAGCGUUGUUCGGAUUUACUGGGCGUAAAGGGCGCGUAGGCGGCCAGCACAAGUCAGUUGUGAAAUCUCCGAGCUUAACUCGGAAAGGUCAACUGAUACUGUGCGGCUAGAGUGCGGAAGGGGCAACUGGAAUUCUUGGUGUAGCGGUGAAAUGCGCAGAUAUCAGGAGGAACACCGGUGGCGAAGGCGGAUCUCUGGGCCUGUCCUGACGCUCAGGCGCGAAAGCCAGGGGAGCGAACAGG